rnacentral:rRNA from 1 species
GAUGAACGCUGGCGGCGUGCCUAAUACAUGCAAGUCGAGCGAACAGAUAAGGAGCUUGCUCCUUUGACGUUAGCGGCGGACGGGUGAGUAACACGUGGGUAACCUACCUAUAAGACUGGAAUAACUCCGGGAAACCGGGGCUAAUGCCGGAUAACAUUUAGAACCGCAUGGUUCUAAAGUGAAAGAUGGUUUUGCUAUCACUUAUAGAUGGACCCGCGCCGUAUUAGCUAGUUGGUAAGGUAACGGCUUACCAAGGCAACGAUACGUAGCCGACCUGAGAGGGUGAUCGGCCACACUGGAACUGAGCCACGGUCCAGACUCCUACGGGAGGAAGAAGUAGGGAAUCUUCCGCAAUGGGCGAAAGCCUGACGGAGCAACGCGGCGUGGGUGAUGAAGGUCUUCGGAUCGUAAAACUCUGUUAUUAGGGAAGAACAAAUGUGUAAGUAACUGUGCACGUCUUGACGGUACCAAAUCAGAAAGCCACGGCUAACUACGU